rnacentral:rRNA from 1 species
AACGAACGCUGGCGGCAUGCCUAACACAUGCAAGUCGAACGAGACCUUCGGGUCUAGUGGCGCACGGGUGCGUAACGCGUGGGAACCUGCCCUUAGGUUCGGAAUAACUCCCCGAAAGGGGUGCUAAUACCGGAUAAUGUCUUCGGACCAAAGAUUUAUCGCCUUUGGAUGGGCCCGCGUUGGAUUAGCUAGUUGGUAGGGUAAAAGCCUACCAAGGCGACGAUCCAUAGCUGGUCUGAGAGGAUGAUCAGCCACACUGGGACUGAGACACGGCCCAGACUCCUACGGGAGGCAGCAGUGGGGAAUAUUGAACAAGGAGCGAAGGCCUGAUCCAGCAAUGCCGCGUGAGUGAUGAAGGCCUUAGGGUUGUAAAGCUCUUUUACCCGGGAUGAUAAUGACAGUACCGGGAGAAUAAGCUCCGGCUAACUCCGUG